CGCGUAGGCGGCUGGGUAAGCGUGUGGUGAAAGCCCGGGGCUCAACCCCGGGUUGGCCAUGCGAACUGUCCAGCUGGAGCACGGUAGAGGCACAUGGAAUUCCGGGUGUAGCGGUGGAAUGCGUAGAGAUCCGGAAGAACACCGGUGGCGAAGGCGGUGUGCUGGGCCGUGGCUGACGCUGAGGCGCGACAGCGUGGGGAGCAAACA
rnacentral:rRNA from 1 species